GCUGGGUGUGAUUGCUCACGCCUGUAAUCCCAGCACUUUCGGAGGCUGAGGUGGGUGAUUGCCUGAGCUCAGGAAUUCUAGACUAGCCUGGGCAACAUGGUGAAACCCCAUCUCUA
ensembl:misc_RNA Metazoa_SRP Metazoan signal recognition particle RNA